AUGCAUGAGACACCUAGUUUCCAACUUCAAAUUGAAAUUUCAUAGCAAGGUUUUUGAUGAUCAUAUGUGGCCAGCUGCAUAUGCAUGGACAGAGCAAUCUUAUUCCUACCACAUGAGAUCAAUUGAGGCUGCUAAACCAGAGGCAAUGAUAUAUUUAAAAACACAUCACCCAAGGUUAUGGUCUAGAAGCAUGUUCUCAUGUGCAUCAAAGGUUGAUUAUGUGACCAACAACCUUGCUGAAAGCUUUAAUAAUUAGAUCAAUAAGCACAAAGGACUCAUGAUUUAUGAGUUGAUGGACAAGAUAAGAAAAAAGACUAUGAAAAUGUUCCAACGACAAAAGAAGGUUGCGAACAAGCUACUAGGACAAAGUAUACUCCCAAGUGUCAUGAGUGAGUUUAAUGCUAAAUCAAGGGACCUAGACCUAGAGGUUGAUAGAAGUGAUGACUUAGAAGCUAAAGUUACCGACAAAUCUCCUGGUGGGAAGAGACAUGUGGUAAACUUGGAGGAAAGAACAUGCACCUGUAGAGAAUGGCAAGUUUCUGGAAAGCCAUGUAUACAUGCAUUGGCAUUCAUUACGUCGGUGAAGGGUUUGCAUAUAGACUCAUUUGUGCAUGAAUGUUAUAGUGUAGCCAAGUUUGUAGCUGCAUAUGCCCCACGCAUCCUUGGUCUUACUGACAUGUCUCAAUGGCCAACAAGUAGACAUGGCUUCUUUCUUUAUCCACCAAUACUAAGGAGAAGUGCAGGGAGACCUAGGAAUAGAAGGUGCAAGGGUGGAGCUGAAGGGAAAGGCUCUAGUAAACGUAGGUCAGGGAGCCAAAAAUGUCCUAUUUGUCACAACUUUGGUCACAGAUGGUAGACAUGCAAAGAAGCUGAUCCAGAUGCUAAGGAAGCAUAUGCUAUUUCAGCAAAACAAAGACAAAACAGGAAGUAAGCAACACCAUCAGCUUCAAGUAGUUGUGUUGGCAAUGCCUAUCACCCGCAUCUUUGCAUGGCCCACCAAGCUCAACUGGACCAAAUCAACCACCAGUGAUAUCUGCCCCCUUUCCUGAAAUAGAAGAAAGCACUCCAUCUCCUAAGGGAAGAGCCAAGGGGAAGACUAACCCUAAACCGGUAGCACAAGACAGUCCUUCUAUGUCAACUAGAAGCAAGAAGAAAUUGUCAUCAACUAGUCCAUCCAUGUCAACUAGAAGCAAAAAGAAAUUAAUAGCUUAAUGUACUUGUCUGUGGUUUCUGGUCAUGUAAAAUGUUUUUUAACUUUUAAACUACUUAAGAUCCACUUUUAGCUCUGGUAAUGUUGAAUUUGGUUGUGUUGAACUUGGAGCUCCGGUAAUGUUGAAUUUGGUUGUGUUGAACUUGGA